CUACGGGUUGCUGCAGUGGGGAAUUUUGCGCAAUGGGCGAAAGCCUGACGCAGCAACGCCGCGUGAGCGAUGAAGGUUUUCGGAUCGUAAAGCUCUGUCAGAUGGGAAGAAGAACAUGACGGUACCAUCAGAGGAAGCCCCGGCUAACUCCGUGCCAGCAGCCGCGGUAAUACGGAGGGGGGGAGCGUUGUUCGGAAUUAUUGGGCGUAAAGCGUAUGUAGGUGGUUUGACAAGUCAGACGUGUAAGCCCACGGCUCAACCGUGGAAUUGCGUUUGAAACUAUCUAACUUGAGUGCAGAAGAGGAAAGCGGAAUUUCCAGUGUAGCGGUGAAAUGCGUUGAUAUUGGGAAGAACACCUGUGGCGAAGGCGGCUUUCUGGUCUGCUACUGACACUGAGAUACGAAAGCCAGGGGAGCAAACGGGAUUAGAUACCCGAGUAGUC
rnacentral:rRNA from 1 species